rnacentral:rRNA from 1 species
AGAUUAUUAUUGUUAUUAUUAUAUAUUUAUUGUUAUCAGCGGUGUAAUUAGGUAUCUACAACAUAGAAGAUUUACCUUUUGUAUCAUGGUUUUACUAAUAAAAUUUCAAAUGGAAAUACUCGAAGUGAGAGGAUCUAACUUAUUCUCGGUUUUAGCCGUAGAACUUGUGUGGCAACACGAGGAUUAAAAGAUUUAGUUAGGGGCGAAAAACCUACAACUCUCAGGAUAUCUAGAUCUUAAAUAAACGUAUCUAGUACGAAAAACAGCCAAGGAGUGUGAGAUUUCUUGGGGGGAGUAUAUUGGAUUUGGUUAUCUUUUGAAGGGUCAAUACCCUGUCUUUACUUGUGAAUUUAAUACUAUUUUUCUGUUUUAUCUCUCUUUUAUUUAAGCAUUUCAUUAAUAAUAUAUGAAAAAGAUAAUGUAAAAAUGAGUAGUAGUAUUUAAUAAGGUUAAGGAACUCGGCAAACAACCUCCUCAUCUGUUUAGCAAAAACAUAGCCUUGGGAAUUAAUCCAAGGUAAGUCCUGCCCGGUGAUAAAUUUUAACGGCCGCAGUACCCUGACUGUGCUAAGGUAGCGUAAUCAGUUGACUUUUAAAUGGAGUCGAGAAUGAAUGGGUCUUUGGGGAGAAGCUGUCUCAACUUUACUAGUUUGAAUUUGUUUAUAGGGUGAAAAUACCCUAGAGUAGAAAAAAGACGAGAAGACCCUUAGAGUCUUUAUAAUUAAGUUUAGUAGUUGCUAAUUUAUUUUUGUUGGGGCGACAACGAGGCAAAUUUAACCCUCGGUAUUUAUUAUGUACAGGACGAUCUUAAUAAGUAAGACAAGACUACCUUAGGGAUAACAGCAUAAUGUUUUUUUAAGCUUGUGACCUCGAUGUUGGACUAGGAACCUUAGGACUAGCCGUCAUAAGGGAAGGUUCUGUUCGAACUUUUUUACUCCUACAUGAUCUGAGUUCAGACCGGCGCAAGCCAGGUCAGUUUCUAUCUUUUUCUAUAUCUUUUUAGUACGAAAGGACCGAAAGAUAAUAAUAUUGUGUUGUUGCUGC